rnacentral:misc_RNA from 1 species
GAGUGAGGGCCGAAAGGUCCGACCUCCAACCCUUUGUCAUCCGACUCUGUUGCCUCGGGGGCGACCCGGCCUUCGGGCGUCUUGGGGCCCCCGGUGGACUAUAACACUGCAUCUUUGCGUCCGAGUAAACAUUUAAUUUAUUAAAACUUUUAACAACGGAUCUCUUGGUUCU